rnacentral:rRNA from 1 species
AGGUGCGAGCGUUAUCGGAUUUACUGGCGUAAGCGUGCGUAGCGGCUUUUUAAGUCGGAUGUAAAUCCCCGAGCUUAACUUGGGAAUUGCAUUCGAUACUGGGGAGCUAGAGUAUGGGAGAGGAUGGUAGAAUUCCAGGUGUAGCGGUGAAAUGCGUAGAGAUCUGGAGGAAUCCCGAUGGCGAAGGCAGCCAUCUGGCCUAAUACUGACGCUGAGGUACGAAAGCAUGGGGAGCAAACAGGAUUAGAUCCCCUGGUAGUCCACGCCGUACACGAUGUCUACUAGCCGUUGGGGCCUCUGAGGCUUUAGUGGCGCAGCUAACGCGAUAAGUAGACCGCCUGGGGAGUACGGUCGCAAGACUAAAACUCAAAUGAAUUGACGGGGGCCCGCACAAGCGGUGGAGCAUGUGGUUUAAUUCGAUGCAACGCGAAGACCCUUACCUGGCCUUGACAUACUAGAAACUUUCCAGAGAUGGAUUGGUGCCUUCGGGAAUAUACAUACAGGUGCUGCAUGGCUGUUGUCAGCUCGUGUCGUGAGAUGUUGGGUUAAGUCCCGCAACGAGCGCAACCCUUUUCCUUAUUUGCCAGCAUUUCGGAUGGGAACUCUAAGGAUACUGCCAGUGACAAACUGGAGGAAGGCGGGGACGACGUCAAGUCAUCAUGGCCCUUACGGCCAGGGCUACACACGUGCUACAAUGGUCGGUACAAAGGGUUGCUACCUAGCGAUAGGAUGCUAAUCUCAAAAAGCCGAUCGUAGUCCGGAUUGGAGUCUGCAACUCGCCUCCAUGAAGUCGGAAUCGCUAGUAAUCGCGGAUCAGAAUGCCGCGGUGAAUACGUUCCCGGGCCUUGUACACACCGCCCGUCACACCAUGGGAGUUUGUCGCACCAGAAGUAGGUAGCCUAA